ACGAGGGUGACAGGUGGUGCAUGGUGUCGUCAGCUCGUGUCGUGAGAUGUUGGGUUAAGUCCCGCAACGAGCGCAACCCUCGACCUUAGUUGCCAGCAUUCAGUUGGGCACUCUAAGGUGGACUGCCGGCUAAAAGUCGGAGGAAGUGGGGAUGACGUCAAAUCAUCAUGCCCCUUAUGACCUGGGCUACACACGUGCUACAAUGGGCGGUACAAAGGGUCGCGAACCCGCGAGGGGGAGCCAAUCCCAAAAAGCCGCUCUCAGUUCGGAUUGCAGGCUGCAACUCGCCUGCAUGAAGCCGGAAUCGCUAGUAAUCGCGGAUCAGCAUGCCGCGGUGAAUACGUUCCCGGGCCUU
rnacentral:rRNA from 1 species